GGGGAUUUAGCUCAGUGGUAGAGCGCUUGCCUAGCAAGUGCAAGGCCUGGGUUCGGUCCCCAGUUCCG
rfam:Rattus norvegicus chromosome 1, whole genome shotgun sequence.